ACCAUAUUGGUGUAGUGGUUAACAGCUAUGGCUGCUAACCAAAAGGUUGGUAGUUCAAAUCCACCAGGUGUUC
rnacentral:tRNA from 1 species